UAUGUUUGGUUGUGUGCUCACUUUACUUUGCAACUAGUGCUGAGCUAUGUCUGCUCCAUCUAUUAUCUUUUAUUUUGAAGUCAAGAAGUGGUCUAUCUGAGCAGGUUUUUUUUUCAUUUGGAAUUAAAAUUGAAUGCAGCCGUAAAACAGGCAGGGCCAACACGUACACGUAUACAAAAUUUGGUGAAAAGAGUGGUGUUGGCUACGUUUACCUCACAUUCCAGAAGAUGUUUGAGAGAAAUGCUCCAAUUUAUUUCCCGUUUGGUUCUGUGAAGUCAAGAAAUACGGAAGGGCUUUAAAGGCUUUCUGAAGGUCAAGUAAUCAAGAUUUGAUGAAUGCAUCGACUACAGUCAAAUGAAAUAAAAAUUGCAAUGGAUACUUGAC